AUUGAACGCUGGCGGCAGGCUUAACACAUGCAAGUCGAGCGGGGUGAUGGUGCUUGCACUAUCACUUAGCGGCGGGCGGGUGAGUAAUGCUUAGGAAUCUGCCUAUUAGUGGGGGACAACAUCUCGAAAGGGAUGCUAAUACCGCAUACGUCCUACGGGAGAAAGCAGGGGAUCACUUGUGACCUUGCGCUAAUAGAUGAGCCUAAGUCGGAUUAGCUAGUUGGUGGGGUAAAGGCCUACCAAGGCGACGACCUGUAGCGGGUCUGAGAGGAUGAGCCGCGCAACUGGGACUGAGACACGGCCCAGACUCACACGGGAGACAGCAGUGGGGAAUAUUGGACAAUGGGGGGAACCCUGAUCCAGCCAUGCCGCGUGUGUGAAGAAGGCCUUAUGGUUGUAAAGCACUUUAAGCGAGGAGGAGGCUCUUUUGGUUAAUACCCAAGAUGAGUGGACGUUACUCGCAGAAUAAGCACCGGCUAACUCUGUGCCAGCCGCCGCCGUAA
rnacentral:rRNA from 1 species